GACGAACGCUGGCGGCGUGCUUAACACAUGCAAGUCGAACGGAAAGGCCCUGCUUUUGUGGGGUGCUCGAGUGGCGAACGGGUGAGUAACACGUGAGUAACCUGCCCUUGACUUUGGGAUAACUUCAGGAAACUGGGGCUAAUACCGCAUUGUAGCUCCUGCUGCAUGGUGGGGGUUGGAAAGUUUCGGCGGUUGGGGAUGGACUCGCGGCUUAUCAGCUUGUUGGUGGGGUAGUGGCUUACCAAGGCUUUGACGGGUAGCCGGCCUGAGAGGGUGACCGGCCACAUUGGGACUGAGAUACGGCCCAGACUCCUACGGGAGGCAGCAGUGGGGAAUAUUGCACAAUGGGCGGAAGCCUGAUGCAGCAACGCCGCGUGCGGGAUGACGGCCUUCGGGUUGUAAACCGCUUUCGCCUGUGACGAAGCGUGAGUGACGGUAAUGGGUAAAGAAGCACCGGCUAACUACGUG
rnacentral:rRNA from 1 species